GCUGGGAUUUACCUGCAGGAGGGCACCCCAGCAGGGCAUGAGUGACUCAGGGGGAAGAAUGUCAUCUUCUGAAUCACAGUGCCACUUCCUGUGGCACUUUGUUGUUCCUUCCAGGAUUCCCCCGGCUGCCUGAUACGAGGUAGAUUGCAAGAUCUUUGGAAAGCUGAAUGUAUCUAAAGUCUUGGACCAAGUUUGUGCCCAAUGCAAUACCAUCAGCAUUGCUGGCUUUGCGUCCGGGUUGAAGCUGAACCAUUUGAUUUCCUCUAGCCCUUAUCAAGCCACUUCUUCGCCAUCAAUGGGACAUCGGUGCUGACCGCUUGUGAUAGCUACACAGAAGCCAGCUGCUGGAGAAACUAGGUGAACACUCAGCUACCAGCCACACACACCUUAUUGCCAGUGAACUGGUGGAAGAGGGGCUGGAGAGGGCUUCUAGAGUGGGGCAAAGGAGGGAGCCUCUCCCAGCCCCCUUUCUCCAGAGAGCAGCUCCAGCAUCUCUGUUACCUUUCCUGCUGUGCUGGCUGCACUGGAGCUACUGGCACGCCGGCGUCGGCUUGUGGUGCGGGCAAUCUGCCACAGCUUCUCUGAGCUCUGGUAGGGAGAGGUGGGAAACAUCUCUGGAAAAACAAUUUUCUGAGACAAACGAAAUGUGUUUUUUUCUACACUAAGAGCUCCCUCCUUUUUGUCCUGCCACAUACAUAUGAGCACAUUCCUCACAUAGCCAUAUUUCAAAGCCCUGUUGGAAGCACCAAAGAUGUUAAAAUUUCUCAGGAUGAAGUAACAAGAACCUUUUAUGCUGAAAUGGGUCAGGGCUCCCAGGCAUGCAGGUAGACCAGCUGCCACCCUGAUGAUUAAAGGUAUAAUAUAAGAUACAGCCUACCACACAGCAUCAGGUUGGACAAAAAUCUCCUCCUUUCCUCCAGUGCAUACCCACAUACAGAGUGCCCGUUGCUUGUCCAGAAUAUCCCAGUAAAAGUGCUACCACUGACUUCAGGGUGAGAGGAACUCUCAGCAGGUUUCUUAUCUGGUCUCCCUGAAUGAAUCAGAAUUUUAAACGUACAAAGCAAAUGCUGAGUCUCUGCCACAGCUAUUACAGGAAGAAGAAAAAAAAGAAUAAUGUCAUGUAAUAGCACAUUGCUCUCUCAAGAAGCUUUGAUGUCAGGAAACAAAAUACCCAAGUACAACUAUUUUUCUAACUUGUUCAUCUUUGGGGGUUGCCAGAGGAAGGUCUUUUUUGCCUCCCAGACCACCACAAAGUUGAGACACAGAGAACAAGUGAUUGUCCACAUGACUGUUCUGUGAAAGUUCUGGAUUUUCCAAAUGGCCGUUUACAGUUACAUAUUUAUUCAUUUUUCCAGUCAGUUAACAUUACAAAAAUAAAGGACAGAAAAACAGAGGUUAUGCUAAUAGUUCCCAAGUGACUAUCAAGAGCGUGCAGUUUCAGUCUCUGAUGCAGAUAGUAGAUUUUCUCAGGAAGCUAAGGGAAGACACAGCACGGCUUUGUGAAAUUGCAUAGAAGAUAAUAAUUUGUAGAAUUUGUAUCUAUAAAGCCAUAUCAACAAUUGAUUUUUAGGUGAUUCUUUGAAUUAUUGGUAACAUUCAUCACAUUCUCCAACAGACACUAACUGUAAUAGUUAUAGUAAGGUAGUGAGGAAUUUUCCAUCAGAGCUGAAAAGCCCUUAGGUAAGCAAAUACAUCUAUGACUUAAAAAAAAAAUUCUUUCAGUUAAAUAAACAGUACCAAAUUUCUGAUCUUCUGACACUCAGACAUAUUCAGUAGUUGAGAUCUGACAUUUAGACUGGGGUUUUUUAAUUAGAUUUUCUGUCUUAAGAAAAAAUCAAGUCCCAUUAGUAAAAUUCUAUGCACUCGACUAAAUACUGAGAAUGAUGGUCCAUUUUACUGCUCUCCAACGUGAUUCACUGAAUAAUCCAAUAUGUAGCCUUGCUGCAGCAGCGGUGAAUGUAGCAAGGAGUAGCCUUGCUUCCUCGUUGGGAUGUUGAUAAUAGAUAAGCUGUUCAUCAGCAUUAAAUGUAUCAGCCCUUCUUUGUGAUUUCUCCUUUUUGCAAACCUCAGAAACUUCUGAACCAAACAAUACAGAUUGAUAAGCCAUGCCAAAAUGAAAGCUGUCAUGGACACAAAAUUGUAUUGUUGGGCAAAAGCACAGAAUUGUCUUCAGUAGAAACCUUUCUGCAUAAGUCUCACUAUCUUUAUCAUAUUAUUUGUCAUGUGAAUUCACCCUGUAUUUUUUCUGCUUUCCAAAGUAAGUGAAAAACAAUCACUUGGAAUGGAAGGACCUUUUAUGUGUCCAUUCUUACGUUCUACAUAUACCUGCUCCCAUUGUGAGCUUAUGUCAUUCUGUUGAAGUGAACCUGGUGAAGAGGUGGACUGAGUUCUUCAUAUUUAAUCGGUCCAUUUUCCAUGCUAUGUAAUUCACAAAGGAUUUGGUACAAAACUCAGGGAAGUUAAUCUGAGUUCUGUUUCUCCAUCACAGAUCUUUAACUCUUUGUUGUCUUUCUAAAUGUUCACCUGCAAAACUGCUUCCAAGGACUCAUGCUUUUUCAUUCAUUUGCAUUCAAAGACCCACUGGAGAAGCUCAUUCUCUUUCUGUAGCUUCCCUAUGUUUUUCUCUUUACCCUGUUUCCUCCUUUCCACAGAAAGAUAGGUUGGGAUAUUCUCUGUUGCUCCCAUCUCUUUCCCAAUUGCAUCAUGCGUCCUUCCCAAACUGUUGUCACAUGCCUCUCCAGUAUAACAAGGUGGGACUAAAAGAGCUACCUGGCUUUCUUAUUCUCAUUCAUGGUGGAAUUUGUUUCCCCCACAUAUGGAUACAAAGUCAAAUGCUUUGUGGAAAUCUAUUGGAAUCAACUCUCCACUCUCCAGUUAUGAGAGACCACAGCCAGAAGAAAAACACAGGCACAACUCCUCCUGGACCUGAACUGUUCUUGGGAACAACUGCCUAAGCAAUACUGUGGCAUUGUGCCUAAACUCCUUCGCUUUGCUGGACCUAAACUGACUCACACAGGAUCAUCUUAGCUCUCUCUGUAACCACUGCACUGGUUGAUCUGCAAACCAAAUAGUCUUCCAAUGCAUAAUGGAGAGAUGACGCUUUCCUUUAUGAAGCAAACUGAUUGCCUCACCUAAAAGCUUAUUCAGGCAAAAUGUUGAGGUUUUGUUGCAAAUAUCUGAUCUCAGUUUUUUUCUCAAGAGAGACAUUAAGGAGCAUCAAAUGAGAACAAUCAAGGUCAUUAAGGGCAGCCAGGCAUAUCCGAGCCACUUCCCUAUGUGAAAGACAGUGGUAUGACUAAAGCCUCCAACUUAAAUAGCUGUGGAGUUUGUCAAGAACACUAUAUGCUGCAACAACCUAAAAAGUGGACCUCAGGACUGUUAUCUAAUGGAAAGAAACCCAAGACACAUGUAUUGCUGUGUGCUGAAAAAUUUCACUGGUAAGAAGCGUAACAGUUAAGGAUAAAAGGUGCUCUCUAACUGCGAUACACCACGUCAUAAAUUGGCUUUUAGGAUAUAGGAUGUAGAACUAGUUGGCAUUUGGGCCUACAAUUGAUAGAAAGUUAUAAAUACUUCAAAUGCACAUGUUUAAACAUAUUAAAUAGACUUUACUAAAUAUGCAUUGCAGAAUCAUAGAAUCAUACAAUCAUCAAAUGGUGUGGGUUGGAAGGGACCUUAAAGAUCAUCUGGUCCCCUUGCCAUUGACUGUUCAGGAUUUAUGGUCCAUUAGAGCUCAGCACCUAAAUCAUUUUACCCAAUCCCAAUAUUAUGUUUUUCCCAUGUUUUUCUUUUCAUUAUACCCAGUCUGAACCUUUCUUGUUUCAAUUUGUCCCACUGUUUCUUCAUAGAAUCAUAGAAUGGUUUGGGCUGGAAGGGACCUAAAAGCUCAUCUAGUUCCAACCCCGCUGCCAUGGGCAGGGACACCCUCCACUAGACCAGGCUGCCCAAAGCCCCAUCCAGCCUGGCCUUGGACACUUCCAGGGAUGGGGCAUCCACAGCUUCUCUGGGCAACCUGUUCCAGUGCCUCAUCACCCUCACAGGGAAGAACUUGUUCCUAAUAUCUAAUCUAAAUCUUCCCUCCUUCAGCUUAAACCCAUUACCCCUUGUCCUAUCACUUCAUGCCCUUGUAAAUAGUCCCUCUGCAGCUUUCCUGUAGGCCCCUUCAGGUACUGGAAGGCUGCUCUAAGGUCUCCCCGGAGCCUUCUCUUCUCCAGGCUGAACAAGCCCAACUCUCUCAGCCUGUCUUCACAGGAGAGGUGCUCCCGCCUUCUGAUCAGCUUCGCGGCCCUCCUCUGGAUUCUCUCCUACAGCUCCAUGUCUCUCCUGUACUGGGGACCCCAGAGUUGGAUGCAGUACUCCAGGUGGGGUCUCACAAGAGCAGAGUAGAGGGGCAGGAUCACCUCCCUCGACCUGCUGGUCACACUGCUUUUGAUGCAGCCCAGGACACGGUUGGCUUUCUGGGCUGCAAGCGCACACUGCCAGCUCAUGUUGAGCUUCUCAUCAAUCAAUACCCCCAAGUCCUUCUCCUCAGGGCUGCUCCCAAUCCAUUCCUCACCCAGCCUAUAGUCGUGCUUGGCAUUGCGCCGACCCACGUUCAGGACCUUGCACUUGGCCUUGUUGAACUUCAUGCAGUUCACACGGGCCCACCUCUCAAACCUGUCAAGGUCCCUCUGCAUGGCAUCCCUUCCCUCCAGCAUGUUGACCACACCACACAGCUUGGUGUCAUCAGCAAACUUGCUGAGGGUGCUCUCGAUCCCACUGUCCAUGUCACUGACAAACAUGUUAAACAGUGCCGGUCCCAGUACUGACCCCUGAGGAACACCACUUGUCACUGGUCUCCAGAAGAUCCAUCAAGUUACCAAACGAGGGUAACCAGCCACUGGAAUGGGGUAGUUGUUGUGUUUUCACUCAUUUGAAGUAGUUAAAUAGAGAUGAUACAUCUUCCCAUCAUCACUAGCAGCUGCGAGCAGGAAUUGUUCAGUGAAAUUCCAAGGCUUAUGUUACGUAGGAGGCCAGUCAGGAUCAUCGUAAUGAUCCCUUCUGGUUUUAAAAACUCUGAAUACUGUAUGUAAUCCCUGUAAUUAAUCUAGCUCCAUAGGCUUCUGUUUAUGAGUCAGUUAUUUUGGCUGUCUGUAUCAGGAGAAAUAACUAGUUGCAGCCAGUCAGGGUUUAUUGAAAGUAGGGAAUUACUAUUUGGAGGAAAGUCUGUUUCUAAAAAGCCUGCUGUAUAAGCCUAUGCUCUUUGGAAACACCGAAGGUGAUCUCUAUGACACAUCCUAUUUGCCGAAAGUUUACGGUAGAUUGACUCAUGCAGUUUUAUGUUGUGCUCUGUUUAAAAUACUAUUUUUUUUGGUUGAGUGGUAGCUGUUUCAGUGGUUACCUUUUGGUUUGAUGGUUUGUUUUUAUAGGGCAGAGAAAGUUUACCCAAAUUACGAGCAGUUGCCAGUACUGCCUGAAAAAAAUGUCAUCCUGACAUUGAUUUCUUUGGGGAAUGAAUCAUGCAGCUAUAUAACUUUUAGCAGUGCUGUCUGUGUAGAUUUGUGAUCUUUUUUCUUUCUUUUAGUACAAAGUUUGUCACUUGAAACAAUGCGUGAUGUCUCGUCUUAAGCAUAUUUAUAGUUUUCCCUCUGUUUACUAACAGUUCAGUUCUGUGUGUCACUUGUGUCUGGCAUAUGCAUCAUCAGUAGUUCCAUUUCAGUAUAGAAACCCAUAAUUUCACUUUAUAUUUUGUCCAUAUGCAUCAUUUUUGUGGCUAUGUUUUAUCCAUGAUGGGGCAUUGCAAGGAGGCCUUCUUAAUGAUAGAAACCAUAAUGUGUCCCAAAUAUAGCACAGUAUGGAUAAUUGCAGACAAGAGUUUAGGGGUAUUUUUGGUUUUGACAAUUAAUGACUGCCUGCAUGAAAGUUUUAAUGCAUUGCAUCACAUAAAAAACCACCAACAGAAAACCAAUGGCACAUUCCUUUGGAGAGUUCCCUUGAGCUCAGCUAAUCCAAAGAAAAUCAAAACGGCCAAAUCUUUAAAUCAGCACAAACAGAAAACCUAAGUAAUGGAUACAGCUUUAUGGAUUUCUUCAGGCCAGAUCCUGCUCACUUGAAAUGUUCCACUUAGGAGAAAAGGGCUGAGGAAUCCCAGGAGCAGCAAAAUCAAAGCAGCAGACGUUUCUAGUCUGGUUCUAAUCCCAUGUAAUUAGAAUAACAGAUAAAUCAUAACUUCUCUUUUUCUCAUCCCUGCUUUCUAUUUAAGAUUACUCAAUUCCUUUGUUUCCUUGCUCUAUUACUGUGUGUCCCUGUUACUUACUAUUUAUUAAGUGCUGGUUGAUGCAAAUCUUUGGAGGUGUAAAGCCAUCAUGUUUGCCAUGAUGUUUGGGGCUUUAGUCAAUAAAUCUCAGCUCUUGCCCUUUGCCUCCUUUAAAAGGGCAGCUCAGCAUUCAGUCUGUGCCUCCAUUGCCCUCCCCACCACAGCACGGAGAGACUCACUGAACAUGCGCCUGUCCGUAUGGCAUAGUAUGACGGCAGGUACGGUCAUCACAUCUGAAGGAGUCGACACUGAGGACACACUGGCAUCCACACACAGGGAAAGACUCGCGCUUACUGACUCAUUCCCCACCACAGAUCCUCCUUAAAGGAAAACGCAUGCUGUCUGUGAACCUCUUCCUGGUGCUAACAGGCAGUAAUUCACUUCCAGAUCGAUUAAGUCUAGAAAUUUUAAAAAAAAAAGUUAUCAUUGAAAAGAGGCCAGUUCCAGAUGGGGAACUGGCAUAGGCAACAUCGAGCAGGAUGCCAGCCUAAAUCUACUUCCAGUGCUCAUCUGUACCCUUGUGAAAUUGGCUUCCCACCUCUGUGAGCAGGCACCGCGCCAUCCUACUGCAUGGGUACGAGUUUGGGUGGCCAAGCCAUCAUGCACACGCACUGACUGGGGAACAAGGGCACGGAAUCCAAGUGCAGGAAUGUGGAUGCAACAGCAUGGCUGGAGCCUCUGCACAGAUUCAACAGUUAAUGGACCGUGUCAACAGCAUGAAGCUGGAAUCACCUCUGAGAUGAGCCAAACAGCCUCCUCCACUGUGUGAAGUAAUUUCUGUCGCCAAGGAAUCAGGACAUGUAUUGCAAAAGAAAAGAAGAGGGAGGAGAGGAAGGAGAAGAGCAAUUGGAGAUUUCUUAAUGAUAGGUUGGGCAUUCAAGCUCUGUUUGCUAUCUGCAUAGUCCUUAUUCAUUUGACUAAGUUGUUGGUCUUUGGAAAGAAAACAUCUGAUCUGUGAUGCAGCACUGUCGAGGCUUUGCAUGGCAAAUCUCCUCUGUGCUAUAAAGCCAAGGACCAGUUAGUAUUAGAGGUAAUCUCUUACCAUUAACCCAGCUUCUCACAAGUUCAGGUUUAUUCUUAACUGCUUCUGGCUGGUUAUGGCCCAGGGAGUAAGACCUCUCCACCACAGCAUAGGACAAAAACCUGCCAGGAUCUACCACUUUGUCCCAGCACAGGUUGCUCUGACCAAACUGCAAGCACCUAUCAGAUUGUGGCAAUUUCCUGUCCCUGAGACUGAAAAUGACUGUGAAUCCUAUAAAAAAGUUGGAAUCUCCAAAACCCUUGGAGAAAUGACAAUGCUACAUAAUGUUUUACUGUCAGUGUUGGACAUAGUCCGACGUUGUCCUUGGAACUGAUUUAAUGUUGCUUCUAAAGUCAUAAAUUCUUUUGAACGCUGUCAUAAAAGCCCACACAUUAAACAAAACCAUGCACCAAUUUUUGGUGAUGAGAAA